rnacentral:ncRNA from 1 species
GAUUUUUGUUUUUUAAACGAUAUGAAGGAGAAUUCACCAAGCAUUGGAUUGUUCACCCACGAAUAGGGAACAUGAGCUGGGUUUAGACUGUCAUGAGAAAGGUU